rnacentral:rRNA from 1 species
GUGCCAGCCGCCGCGGUAAUACCGGCAGCCCAAGUGAUGGCCGUUAUUAUUGGGCCUAAAGCGUCCGUAGCUGGCUGCGCAAGUCCGUCGGGAAAUCCACUCGCCCAACGAGUGGGCGUCCGACGGAAACUGCACAGCUUGGGACCGGAAGGCUCGAAGGGUACGUUCGGGGUAGGAGUGAAAUCCCAUAAUCCCGCACGGACCACCGAUGGCGAAAGCACUCUGAGAAGACGGCUUCGACAGUGAGGGACGAAAGCUCGGGUCUCAAACCGGAUUAGAAACCCGUGUGUCC